rnacentral:rRNA from 1 species
GAUGAACGCUGGCUACAGGCUUAACACAUGCAAGUCGAGGGGAAACGACGGGGAAGCUUGCUUCCCCGGGCGUCGACCGGCGCACGGGUGAGUAACGCGUAUCCAACCUGCCUCUGACUGAGGGAUAACCCGUCGAAAGUCGGCCUAAUACCUCAUGGUAUCGUCUGCGGGCAUCCAACGACGAUUAAAGAUUUCAUCGGUCAGGGAUGGGGAUGCGUCUGAUUAGCUUGUUGGCGGGGUAACGGCCCACCAAGGCUACGAUCAGUAGGGGUUCUGAGAGGAAGGUCCCCCACACUGGAACUGAGACACGGUCCAAACUCCUACGGGAGGCAGCAGUGAGGAAUAUUGGUCAAUGGGCGAGAGCCUGAACCAGCCAAGUAGCGUGCAGGAAGACGGCCCUAUGGGUUGUAAACUGCUUUUAUGCGGGGAUAAAGUGAGGGACGUGUCCCUCAUUGCAGGUACCGCAUGAAUAAGGACCGGCUAAUUCCGUG